GCGCAGCAGUCGCGAAACUUUACAAUGUGCGAAAGCACGAUAAGGGAACUCUGAGUGCCUCCUAAGGAGGCUGUUCAGGUGUCUAAAAGCACCUGGAGUAAGGGCUGGGUAAGACCGGUGCCAGCCGCCGCGGUAACACCGGCAGCCCAGGUGGUAGCCACUUUUAUUGGGUCUAAAGCGUCCGUAGCCGGUUGAGUAAGUUCCUUGGGAAAUUUGGCUGCUCAACAGUCAAGCUUCCAGGGAAUACUGCUCGACUUGGGGACUGGGAGAGGUCAGAGGUACUCCAGGGGUAGGGGUGAAAUCCAUUAAUCCCUGGGGGACCACCGGUAGCGAAGGCGUCUGACCAGACCAGGUCCGACGGUGAGGGACGAAGGCUAGGGUCGCGAACCGGAUUAGAUACCCCUGUAGU
rnacentral:rRNA from 1 species